rnacentral:rRNA from 1 species
UGGGGAAUUUUGGACAAUGGGCGAAAGCCUGAUCCAGCAAUGCCGCGUGUGUGAAGAAGGCCUUCGGGUUGUAAAGCACUUUUGUCCGGAAAGAAAUCCUUGGCUCUAAUACAGUCGGGGGAUGACGGUACCGGAAGAAUAAGCACCGGCUAACUACGUGCCAGCAGCCGCGGUAAUACGUAGGGUGCAAGCGUUAAUCGGAAUUACUGGGCGUAAAGCGUGCGCAGGCGGUUUGCUAAGACCGAUGUGAAAAUCCCCGGGCUCAACCUGGGAACUGCAUUGGUGACUGGCAGGCUAGAGUAUGGCAGAGGGGGGUAGAAUUCCACGUGUAGCAGUGAAAUGCGUAGAGAUGUGGAGGAAUACCGAUGGCGAAGGCAGCCCCCUGGGCCAAUACUGACGCUCAUGCACGAAAAGCGUGGGGGAGCAAAACAGGAUUAGAUACCCUGGUAGUCCACGCCCUAAAACGAUGUCAACUAGUUGUUGGGGAUUCAUUUCCUUAGUAACGUAGCUAACGCGUGAAGUUGACCGCCUGGGGAGUACGGUCGCAAGAUUAAAAACUCAAAUGAAUUGACGGGGUCAUAGCUGUUUCCU